rnacentral:lncRNA from 1 species
GAAAAGACAGAAAAAAAAGUCAUUUGUGAAUACAGAGUACCUAGUGUGAAACGUGUUUUUCUCCCCAGAGUCUCUGGUUCCUUCCCGAGGAUCUGAAGUUUGAUUCGGUAUCAUUUCUCCACAGCCUGAAGCUGUCCUUCCAUGACCAUUUCUGCUGGGAACACGGAGAUUUCAAGCCUAAGCACUUGACCCAAGAUGGCCCUGUGCUGUGGCAGAAUAACAUGACACUAGGAGAAUGGAGUGGAGAACAGCUGAUCAUGCUGUAGCAGACAAAAAUGAAGAGCCCAACAGGAACCAGGGGUGAUCUACAAUCUUCAAAGGCCCAAUCUUAGUGAGCCAUUCUGCCCCUCCUCCUAAAGGUUUCAUGUUUCCCGAAAUAGCGCCACCAGCUGGGCAAGAAGCAUUCAAAACAUGAGCCUGAGUCAGGCAUUUCAGCCUCAAAGCACAAGAUUAAAAUAUCUAACUUUGGGAUAGCAUUGAAAAUGUAAACGAGGAAAAUUCCUAAUAAAAAAAUGAUAAUAAAUAAAUAAAUAAAUAAAUAAAAUAUCUAACUUAUCUCUUAUUCCAGAAGCUUCCUUCUGCCAUCUUCCACACAAUCCCCAGAGACUUUCAGUGAUUUUUUUUGUCACUACCUGUUUUUGCUUUCAGGAUUUCAUCAAUGUUGAAUCAUAUACUAUUUUGUCUACUAACUCUCCAGCACCAUAAUUAUUUGAUAUUCAUACAUUACUGAAUGGAUUAUUACCUCACACACUUUGAUUGCUGAUUAACAUCCUGUUGUAUAGAUAUGUUCCUCUGUUUGAAAAAUAUUUGUGUCCUCUCCUCUGGCCCCAUGAUAGACAGUGUUUCUAUGAAGAUUCAUAAACACAUUUUUUAGUUCUGUUUCACAAAUAUCUUGUAAUGUAAUAACUGGUUCAUAGAGCAGGUAUACGCAUAAUUAUUUUUAAAAUUACCAAAUUGCUUCCCAGGCAAAUUUGACUGUUUGAUAUCCCCUCUAGAAGCAUUUAGAAGCUGCUGCAAGUUUAAAUUAUUAUGAACAUUUGGUGGUGGUAAAAAUAAAAGUAAAUAAAAUAAUAAUUCUAUAUAAUUUUAUUACCACUGAGUAUAGAUUCACUUAUCAAAUGUUCCCUGCAACUUAAAUCUAUAAUUACAUCAUGUGUAUAUAGACAGUUUCAGAAAUGCAGAAUGAAAACACAAAUUAACAGCUUUAUCUUGGUCCCAAUGUUAUUCUUUUCUUUAUGAUUUGGAGAUGCAUGAUUUGAAAAAAUGAACUAUAGCAUGCACAUUUUUAUAAUCCUCUCUUAUAGUGAAGCAUGAGUUCCAAAAUCAUGACCUGCCCUUCCUUAAUGGCUCAUCUUUAGAUACUACAGCAUAUUCAAUCAUAACAGUGACAUACUUUAUGCUGUUGUAUUUUUUGUUAUGUAUUUGUGUAUUUCUAGCGUUUCUCUUCUUUUCAAUUCUGUUAAAAUGUGUAGACUGUAAGAUUUACCACACUGAGUGUGGAAUGAAGCAUUAAGUGUGUGUGCUCUGUCAGCAUUCACUAGGAUGUUUUUAUCUUACAAAAUUAAAUCUCAAUGCCAAUUAAACAGCCUCACUGCCUCCCGCUCUGGACUCUCUACAAGCUUCCAUGCUUCUGCUGAUAGAUUUUUCUAGAUCAUGCCCAGGAACUCAUCUAGGCAAUUAUUCCAAAUGAAGCUCACAGAGUAUUUUUCAUAGGCUUUUCUAAAGUGUUAUAAUUUUAGGUUUUGCAUUUAUGUGUAUGAUCCUCUUAAAUAAAACCUUCUAUGUCGUUGAUAGAUGUGCUUUGAAGUAUAUGAUAAAAAUCUGUUUCUAAUUGACUUAUUUGUAUAUCCUUAUGGUCUUCAUUAUAAUAAUUUGAUACAUAUAGUAAAUAUAGUAAUUACUAAAUUAGGGUAAUCAAUUUUUCAUCAGCCUGUGCUCAGAAACAUUGUACCUUUUUUUUUCUAAUUACAUGGAAAUUUAUCAAUUGUUGUAGACCAUAGCAUCUUUCUGUGUCACAGAACCCUGAAGGGAACAUUCAUUCUUUUUAUUUCUGUAUGACCAUUUGUUCCAUUACCAUGUUCAAUUGAAUGCCUUUUAAAUCUUUGUAGAAAAUAAGUCAUCCAUAUGCUGGAUAUAUUUCUGGACUUUCAUGUCUGUUCCUUUGGUUUCAUUGUCUCUAUUCCAGGACCAGAUUCUAUACUUCUGUCAAUUUAUUCAAUUGUUAGAUUCACAUAGUAUUCACUCUCCAACUUUGUUAUUGUUUUUUUGUUGUUGCUGCUGCUGUUUUUAUAUUUGGGUCUCCAUUUUGGAUGCUGGCACUUAACAUAAAUUUUGUAAC